UAGGGAAUCUUCGGCAAUGGACGGAAGUCUGACCGAGCAACGCCGCGUGAGUGAAGAAGGUUUUCGGAUCGUAAAGCUCUGUUGUAAGAGAAGAACGAGUGUGAGAGUGGAAAGUUCACACUGUGACGGUAUCUUACCAGAAAGGGACGGCUAACUACGUGCCAGCAGCCGCGGUAAUACGUAGGUCCCGAGCGUUGUCCGGAUUUAUUGGGCGUAAAGCGAGCGCAGGCGGUUAGAUAAGUCUGAAGUUAAAGGCUGUGGCUUAACCAUAGUAGGCUUUGGAAACUGUUUAACUUGAGUGCAAGAGGGGAGAGUGGAAUUCCAUGUGUAGCGGUGAAAUGCGUAGAUAUAUGGAGGAGCACCGGUGGCGAAAGCGGCUCUCUGGCUUGUAACUGACGCUGAGGCUCGAAAGCGUGGGGGAGCAAACAGGAUUAGAUACCCUGGUAGUCCACGCUGUAAACGAUGAGUGCUAGGUGUUAGACCCUUUCCGGGGUUUAGUGCCGUAGCUAACGCAUUAAAGCACUCCGCCUGGGGAGUACGACCGCAGGGUU
rnacentral:rRNA from 1 species